CUUGUGAUGUGUCUUUCUCAAACUAGACACACUAUUGUACUUGUCCUCUUUCGCAGUUGAAUUAAUGAAUGCACUGGUGUUCUCCCCAAACACUUUGAGCAAAUGAAAGACGACUCCAUCGUUUGCAACAUCGGCCACUUCGACUGAGAUUGACCUGAACUGGCUCAACGCCAACUCCGCCGAGAAGAUCAACAUCAAGCCGCAGCUGGAUGAGGAGGUGGCUGCCGCCCAUCUCGACAAGCUCUGCGUCAAGCUGACUAAGCUGUCAGAUAAGCAGCCAAAUGCCUGGACUUAACUGCGAAGGACCCUUCAAGCCCGACCACUACCGCUAUUGAAAAGUUUGUCAGAUAGGUGGCCAAGCAGCGGCCCAGAGUCAUGGUGCAGUCUGGAGGUGGUGUGGUGGUGCAUGGACACGUGGGUCUGGGUAGGGGAAGAUUCCCAGGAGUCUUCUGGUGGCUAGGACAUUUUUGCUAAUGCCCUGCUUCAACUUGCAUUCAAAUGUUCUUGCCCACUGUAUGCACUUGCCUUUAGAUUCUAACCAGAGCUCCAUUGCCUUUCAAGUAACAAGUGCUAAAUGGCUUCUAAAUGGCUUAUAGAUUGCAUUCCCUCUUUAAAAGCCUGAUUUAUUUUUAGUUGAAAGCCCCAAUCCCUGUACUAUUCAGGUUUACAUAUACAAUGUAGUGGCUAAUAUGGCAAUAAGUGCUGGUUUCAUAUUGUCUUAAGGAAAAUCCACCAAAGUACCACCAAAGCAGUUCUUGCCUGGCUUCAAGUAUACUUACUCAGUUCUAGAACAUCUGUAGUGACUUCCCUAUUCUGUUUUUAUUUAGCUUUAUCUUGCCAGUGUUGUGAGCUGUGAGAGAAUGGGGUGUGGUCAGGUCAACUAUACUGCCAUGUUUUGCGGUUACAUCAUGUAUAUCUCAAGUGUUGCAUUUCAUACAGGAGUUGUACUAUUGUGAAAUGUGAUGCAAUAACGUGAUGCAAUUCUCUUUUAUUUACUUUUGUUGGAUUGCUGCAUGGCAAAUGAAAUGCAAGAGUUGAAAUAAUGCAAUUCUGGCAGUAAUGCAGAGGGCAACUCCACGCAACCUGCCGGACCCCUCAAUUGAAAAUGACAGAUUCUGCCAGGACACUUCAUUACUGCAAUUUGUCUGCCUUUUGCUUAAGUCUAUUCCAAACAGGUGAAAAUUGCCAUGUUUGAACCAAACUGGAAUUAUGCAAAGCUAUUCGUUGGGGGAUUGCGUGGAUAAACGCUAUUAAUUCAAAUUUACACUGCAAUCUCCCAUCAACUUAGAGAUUUUGCUUUUGAUUCAAUGCUACUUGGCUCCGGAGGAUCCAUCAGCUAAUUGAAUAAUAGCGUUUUUUUUCUCCGUUAUUGGCACCAACUCAGUGGCCUGGUUAGUGUCCGCCCUGAGAUUGGAAGGUUGUGAGUUUAAUCCCUCGCCGAGUCAUACCAAAGACUGUAUAAAUGGGACCGGAUGCUUCUCUGCUUGGAACUCACCAUUAAGAAUAUAGAUUGGAAGGCCCUGCAAUAGACUUAACGUCCUGUCGAGGAGGUGUAUUUCUCCAUCAAGCUGCCUCAUGCUACAGAAAUAUGAACCGUUCCGGAUCGCACAGGGUUUGCUUACCUUUGUUAUUCCUUGUACUUGUCUCCAUGCCAACUCAACAUACUAUGAAGAACUCUACAGUAUGCGUUACAAGCAUUUGGGUUUGAAUGUUAGUCAAGAAAGGGAAUGAAGAAAUUAUUUUAAGGCAUGAAUCGUAAACUACAGUCUGCUUAACGCUCAUACUACCGACACAAUUUUGGAUCAUAGCCUAAAGGUGGUUUAUUAAAUGUUUCAUUACUUUGUCAAUCAACUUGUUCGCAAUAUAAAUUAUCAAUAUGGACCUUUUUAAAAAAGUAAAUUACUUUGAGGUCAUUUUGACUCCAGCUAAAAUAACUUAUUUUUUGUGCAUAUAAAAAUCAGCCCCUGGUAUAAAUACUGCAACACAGAACUCUGAUACUCAAUCUACACCCACAGCUGUAUUGGUGCGUAUUCUCUAAAAGGUAGUCGUUCUUGUAAAAACCCAGGUUUCUCUAGAGACAUUAAGUUAUCCAUGCCACCAGAGGGUGAAGGGGGACCUUUAUACAGUUCACCUGCAGAUAUGGCACCCCUUAUGUACACACCUAUGGUAAUAACUAGGUAAGACUGUGUACAAGAUCAAUAUUACCUUACAUACAGUGUACAAAACAUUAAGAACACCAGCUUUUUCCAUGAGACUCACCAGGUCAGCUACAGGUUAAUAUUGGUUCAUUAUUUGGCAGGCACUGAACAGACAAAUGUGACAACUAGCUAGAUGGUUACAGUAGUUGCCUUAGUAACCAAACAAAUAGACUUGCUAGUUUAGCUAAGCAAACCAUCAUCCAACUUUACUAUUAUGAAAAUCUAAUUCAACAAUGAAGUUAAGGUUUCCAAUUUGACUUUUGCUUUCAAAAGAAGUUAAAAUAGAACAUGAAAGAAUGAACUUAGCCAUUAAAUUACAUCAUGCAAUAGGGAAAUAAUGCACACUCUAGAAUGCCCUUCAAGACAGUCAGAAAUUAGUAUUCAACAAUGCCAUGGUAUAAUCAAAGAUUAUCUAUCUGUGGUAAAAUGGUUUUAAAUAUGCAUUGAUACAUUUUUAAAUACACAUUUACCUCAACCUUUAUAAUGGGUACCUUCAAUAUAAAGUGUUACAGGUUGUUUAUUUGACCAUUUUAAACAUCUAUCAAAAGACCACGUACAUACGAAAAAAGAUUGCAGUCAGAGUGCAGUAUAACUGCAGUAUUCUGCAAUUACUGCGUCCAAAAUACUGCAGUCGACUGCAGUUACUGCACUUUCAAAACGGCAAUCUUUUUUUGUAAGGUUGGGAAUGCAAGGGGUAACUUUAGGGAUAACCAAAGUACCCUGUGGGCCAUUAGACAUACUGAAACGUUGAAAUUGCUGCCAAAGUGUUUUCCUGGGGCACGAAACUGCUCAAUCAACCUUUUUCUAAGAUUCUUUUCUUUUGCCUGUGAAUGGGAAACAGCUGCUGCCUGUGGUACCCAAAGUGUCACUCCCUCCCGUUGAUGUGUUUUGGCUCCUCACUUUUAUGACUUGUACUGGCUGGGCCUGGUCAAUGUUUACAGCCCAGCUCAUUACACUGCUCUGAGCAGCUCAGUCCUCUAUCAUGAGAGCCACUGGUCUGACUUUGAUCUACGCAAUGCUGUUUACCGCAAGGUUUUGUCAUUGAAAGUGUCUGAGUCUGCACAGCAAUGUUCUAGAAUAUUGGACAAUUGGCUUUCAUACUUUCUUAGUUCUCUGGGAGGCAAACUCAGCAAAAAGAAGUCCUCUCACUGUCAACUGCGUUUGUUUUCAGCAAAUAUUUGUAUGAACAUAAGAUUCAACAACUGAGACAUAAACUGAACAAGUUCCACAGACGUGACAAACAGAAAUGGAAUAAUGUGUCCCUGAACAAAAGGGGGGGGGGGGGGCAAAAUCAAAAGUAACAGUCGGUAUCUGGUGUGGCCACCAGCUGCAUUAAGUACUGCAGUGCAUCUCCUCCUCAUGGACUGCACCAAAUUUGCCAGUUCUUGCUGUGAGAUGUUACCCCACUCUUCCACCAAGGCACAUGCAAGUUCCCGGACAUUUCUGGGGGGAAUGGCCCUCACACUCCGAUCCAACAGGUCCCAGACGUGCUCAAUAGAAUUGAGAUCCGGGCUCUUCGCUGGCCAUGGCAGAACACUGACAUUCCUGUCUUGCAGGAAAUCACGCACAGAACGAGCAGUAUGGUUGGUGGCAUUGUCAUGCUGGAGGGUUAUGUCAGGAUGAGCCUGCAGGAAGGGUACCACAUGAGGGAGGAGGAUAUCUUCCCUGUAAUACACAGCGUUGAGAUUGCCUUCAAUGACAACAAGCUUAGUCCGAUGAUGCUGUGACACAUCGCCCCAGGCCAUGACUCCACCUCCAUAUCGAUCCCGCUCCAGAGUACAGGCCUCGGUGUAACGCUCAUUCCUUCGACGAUAAACGCGAAUCCGACCAUCACCUCUGGUGAGACAAAACCGCAACUCGUCAGUGAAGAGCACUUUUUGCCAGUCCUGUGUGGUCCAGCGACGGUGGGUUUGUGCCCAUAGGUGACGUUGUUGCCGGUGAUGUCUGAUGAGGACCUGCCUUACAACAGGCCUAUAAGCCCUCAGUCCAGCCUCUCUCAGCCUAUUGCGACAGUCCGAGCACUGAUGGAGGAAUUGUGCAAUCCUGGUGUAACUCGGGCAGUUGUUGUUGCCAUCUUGUACCUGUCCCACAGGUGUGAUGUUCAGAUGUACCGAUCCUGUACAGGUGUUGUUACAGGUGGUCUGCCACUGCGAGGACGAUCAGCUGUCUGUCCUGUCUCCCUGUAGCACUGUCUUAGGCGUCUCAAAGUACGGACAUUACAAUUUAUUGCCCUGGCCACAUCUGCAGUCCUCAUGCCUCCUUGCAACUCGCCUAAGGCACGUUCAUGCAGAUGAGCAGGGAUUUUGUGUUUCUUUCUUUUGGUGUUUUUCAGAGUCAGUGGAAAGGCCUCUUUAGUGUCCUAAGGUUUCAUAACUGUGACCUUAAUUGCCUACCGUCUGUAAGCUGUUAGUGUCUUAAAGACCGUUCCACAGCUGCAUGUUCAUUAAUUGUUUAUGGUUCAUUGAACAAGCAUGGGAAACAGUAUUUAAACCCUUUACAAUGAAGAUCUGUGAACUUGUUUGGAUUUUUACGAAUUAUCUUUGAAAGACAAGGUCCUGAAAAAGGAGCGUUUCAUUUUUGCUGAGACUACCUAUACACAAAAAGUGUAUCAUUGUCACCCCCUGAUCUGUUUCACCUGUCUAUAUGCUUGUCUCCACCCCCCUCCAAGUGUCGCCUAUCUUCCCCAUUAUUUUUACGAAUUAUCUUUGAAAGACAGGGUCCUGAAAAGGGACAUUUUAUUUUUUUGCCGAGUUUAGUUACAAUAUGUCAUAAUGGGCUGCUGGUCUAUCACAGCUCUGCGGCUGUGGAUUCUGAAUUGUGCCUAAAGAGUUUUGAUACCAGUAACUAUUUCACUGGGAGGACAAUGGCACCGGAGGGGAUGGCUGCUGUUUUACGGGCUCCUCACCAACAGUGCUGUUUUGUGUGUUUUUUUGCGUUGUUUGUAACUAAUUUUGUACAUAAUGUUGCUGCUAACGUCUAUUAUGACCAAAAAAGAGCUUCUGGAUAUCAGAACAGCGAUUACUCACCUCGAACUGGAUGAAGAUUUUUUUCUUUAAUGAGUCCGACGCGAAUGAUAUACUGCUUCUCCGAGACCAGGCCCAAAUCCCGUUAUUCGUGUGAAGAAAAGACGGGGGUGGAGAUCGGGUGCCUUGUGAGAAUUAGUCAGCAAGUGGGUUUACACGCCUCUACCAUCUGUUCUAUUGGCCAACGUGCAAUCACUGGAGAAUAAACUGGAUGAUCUCCGUUCAAGAUAAUCCUACCAAGGGGACAUUAAAAACUGUAACAUCUUAACAUCGUUCAGCCAUUCACCAAGGAAUGGCUGAACGAUGACACAGAUAAUAUACAGUUGGCUGGGUUUUCCGUGCAUCGACAGGACAGAACAGCUACGUCUGGUAAGAUGAGGGGUGGUGUUGGUGUGUCUAUUUGUCAAUAACAGCUGGUGAAGGAUGUCUAAUAUUAAGGAAGUCUCAAGGUAUUGCUUGUCUGAGGUAGAGUACCUCAUGAUAAGCUGAAGACCACACUAUCUACCAAGAGUGUUUUCAUCUAUAUUUUUCUUAGCCAUCUAUUUAUUUAAGGCCAUAAGCAAGCAAGAAAAUGCUCAUCCAGAAGUGGCCCUCCUAGUGGCCGGGGACUUUAAUGCAGGCAAACUUAAACCAGUUUUUACCUUAUUUCUACGUGCAUGUCACAUGUGCAAGCAAAGGAAAAAGACCUCUAGACCACCUUUACUCCACACACAGAGAUGCAUACAAAGCUCUCCCGUCUCCAUUUGACAAAUCUGACCAUAAUUCUAUCCUCCUGAUUCCUGCUUACAAGCAAAAACCAAAGCAGGAAGUGCCAGUGACUCGCUCAAUACGGAAGUGGUCAGAUGACGUGGAUGCUACGCUACAGGACUGUUUUGCUAGCACAGACUGUAAUAUGUUCCCGGGAUUGAUCCAAUGGCAUUGAGGACUAUACCACCACAGUCACCGGCUUCAUCAACAUCUGCACUGAGCUAAAGGCUAGAGCUCAAUGCCCUUUCCCAUGUCGACAAAAGGAACACCUAUGUGAGAAUGCUAUUCAUUGACUACAGCUCAGCGUUCAACACCAUAGAGCCCUCAAUGCUCAGUGGUGUGUGCUUAGUCCUCUCCUGUACUCCCUAUUCACCCACGACUGCGUUGCCAAGCACGAUUCCAACACCAUCAUUAAUUUUGCUGACGACACAACAGUGGUAGGCCUGAUCACCAACAAAAAUGAGACAGCCUAUAGGGAGGAGGUCAGAGACCUGGCAGUGUGGUGCUAGGACAAUAACCUCUCAACAUGACCAAGACAAAGGAGCUGAUCGUGGACUACAGGAAAAGGAGGGCCGAACACGCCCCCAUUCACAUCAACGUGUCUGUAGUGGAGCGGGUCGAGAAUUUCAAGUUCCUUGGUGUCCACCACGCCAACAAACUAUCAUGGUCCAAACACACCAAGACAUUUGUGAAGAGGGCACAACAGUACCUUUUCCCCCUCAGGAAACAUUUGGCAUGGGUCCCCAGAUCCUCAAAAAGUUCUACAACUGCUCCAUCGAGAGAAUCCUGACUGGUUGCAUCACUGCCUGGUAUGGCAACUGCUCGGCAUCUGACCAUAAGACGCUACAGAGGGUAAUGUGUAUAGCUUGGGAUCAAGCUUCCUGCAAUCCAGGACCUAUAUACUAGGCGUGUCAGAGUAAAGCCCCAAAAAUGGUCAAAGCCUCCAGUCACCCAAGUCUGUUCUCACAAUGCAACUGGUACAGAUACCGGGGCGCCAAGUCUAGGUCCAAAAGGCUCCUUAACAGCUUUUACCCCUAAGCCAUAAGACUGCUGAACAAUUAAUCAAAUGGCCACCCGGGCUAUUUACUUUGCUUUGUUUUUACACUGCUGCUACUCGCAGUUUGUUAUCUAUGCAUAGUCACUUUACCCUUACCUACAUGUACAAAUUACCUCAACUAACCUGUACCCCGCACAUUGACUCGGUACUGGUACCCCCUGUAUUUAGCCUCGUUAUUUUUAAUUUAUUGUGUUACUUUUUAUUUUAUUUUUUACUUUAUUUAUUUUUACUUUAUUUAUUUAGUAAAUAUUUUAUUAACUCUAUUUCUUGAACUGUGUUGUUAGGUAAGGGCUUGUAAGUAAGCAUUUCACAGUAAAAUUUGAUUUGAUACCACAAAGUUCAAGCAAACUAAAAGGUGACAUAAUCAGCUGAAUCCUCAUACUAUCCUCAUACUGAAUCCUCAUACCGGGGUUCAAGCUUUAGACCCAUAGCACCACCAUCAAGACAAAUGGGCGUGGAUGAGCUGCUUCUGUACUACUUAUCACGCUUGCCAAAAAUCUGCCCUUAACUUCGAACAGAUCAUGCAAUUUGCUUUUGAUGCAUUUUUAACCAUUUUCAGUGAUGUUGACUACUUUAAAUGUAUUUUCUCCAGAACCGCGGGACCGUUGGCACCAAAUGUUCUAUAUAGAAUCUAUGUACCCAUGUCUUUUCCAGGACACUAGCUCAAACUAUAUGGCUGCUAUGAGCUUGUGAACCUGCAUGAAUAGUUUUGCCUGUCUGACAGUGCCACCAUGAAGCCAAACUGAAACGGACUUUACAGGUUAGCUAGACUCAUAUCCCUGAGUGUGUGUGCCAAAUUCCAUGUGGUCGAUCUGAACGUGCUUGCAAAUGUUGAGUCUUGACAAUGUUUGGAACAUGUGUACCAAGUUGUUACAACACUAAUAUCCUCAUAUACAUUUAUAUGCCAGGUCAUGCCCACUUGAAUGUUUAUUGGUCAGUAUUGUUGUUUGACAUACUAGAAAAUGUUGUGUUAAGAGACUUUGGUUAAUAGAUGCUAUAUAUCAAGUUUCAUUCAGAUCGGUCAUUCUUUGCCAGAGGAGUAGCGUUUUAAGUGUUUUUCACAAAAUUCUUAAUGGCGGAAAAUUCUAAAUGGCAGACCUUGUGGGUCCUUGAGGCAAAUGUGUUCCUUGUGAGGAGAGGGAACUAUGUACCAAAUUUCCAGAUUCUAGGUUUCAUGGGGUGAGCGGUGGGACUUUUCAGAGUUUGCAUCUUCAAUCACUUGUGGCCAAUUUACAUAGCAUUGCUUGAGAGGGUGUGGCCCUUGGCCGUUAACCUUUUUUGCUCAACCUUGUAAGUCUUACCAUCUCAUGGGAAUUUGCAUGUGAAUUUCCUCUUACAGAAGAACAAUAAAAAGAAUGCCAAAAAAUACAAUAAGGUUUAACCCAGCUUCGCUGCUUGAAACCCUAAUAACCAAUGCCAACAAAUAUAAUAAGGUUUCUCGCAGCUUCGCUGCUUGAACCCCUAAGGAUAAACUGAUGAGAUGGGUAAUAUUUUUGUAGCAUGUGGGCUUUUUUAAGUGUAGUCAUAAUAUUCCAAAAUGUGUAUGCUUAUGCACAGCAAAUUCUCAGAGCAGCUCAAGCAAUUUCUCCAACUGUACACAUUCAAAUGAAGAGGACACAUACCGGAGCCGCGUUGGUUGCGUAUUGUGGGGAGGUGUGCAUUUGGCCUUUGCUCCUGUGGAUGUUGGUCUCAGAGCUGUGUAGUUAAGUCGCAAUGAGACGCAGGACUAUCCCAUUUCAGCGUAUGUGGACUAUGAUUUACGCUUUCGUGGGUGCAACACAAGUGCAAUAGAAACCAGGCGUCCAGUACUGCUGCAGUAUGAUGAUUCACAGCCAUGAUCUAAACAAGCGCAGCAGUUCAAAUGCGUUUAAAUGUGAAGAUGACUUCAAUGCACAUAAAUAAAGUUACCAAAAAUGUAAAUAGAAGUUUAUUUCAAAAUAUGUGUUGAUUAGAUUUUUCGUUACAUCAAUAAAAUAAGUGUUAAUACAAGCCAUAUGCCAUAGAAAAAUUCAGUACUAAUGGCCCUCAGUAAAUGCCUCGUAGUAAAUAUUGUACAGUUAGUUAUUUUUUUACUCAAGAACAGACAUUUUGGCUCCUUGAGUGCUUUUGCCAGUUUGUCUUUCUGUAAAUAACAUGUCAUAUUAAUAUAGAACUAUAAAACAUUUGUAUUUCUCCAGUGCUAGUUUAAUUUAUGCUGUCGGCCAAGUGAUCACAUGCAUGCAAUACAACACUGCUGAUCAUUAUGAGGUUAUGAACACUAGCAGCAUCAAUCUUUGAAAACCAGGUAGGGGAACACAAUUUGUGCUUCUUUUAAGGUGCUUGCCAUGUUUUAUCAAAGAGACAGACAAUUUGGCCCCUGGACUACUCAAGACAGUAAAUCCUACACACUGUCUCUUUUACAGCACUGGCAUGAUGUGUAAGCUAUUGUUUCAUGUACAUGUUUCACAACAAAGUCUUUAUUAAUAGAAUAUAAUUGAAAAAUAUAUAUCCACUAAUAUAGGCUAUGAUUUAAUAGGCCUUGGACUAGGACAACUUCUCCAUUUAUGGAAAGGUAGCCUACUUAAAGGACACCAAAAUGUUUAAUUGAACAGAUUUGAAUGAAAGGGUCAACUAGUCUCUAGUACACCAUUAUGGAACUUGUCUGGUGCCGCUUUUUAUUUUUUAUUUAUUUUACCUCAUAUGAGAAAUAUUAUUCCAAUUAUUUGGAACGUCUCAAAUUUGGAAUGAUAGUUGAAGGAUUUGUGUGGUUUUAGGCCUACACAUGUAGGCUCUGUCCUCUAUUAAUCUUGGCCAUUAUCCUCAGAAGUGAGACAUCAAACAAGAUGGUAUGAUAAGCCUACUCUCCUUGUGAAUAUGCCAAUAUUCUGUUAUGUUUCUUUCAUGUCUUCAACACCGCGGAUUUCCCAUUCGACAAUAGCA